rnacentral:lncRNA from 1 species
UCAUCCCCGGCACCACACAAGCACGCACGCACGCACAGGAUCUGAUUAUUACAUGCAUACUCCGUUCCAAACCCAGACCCCAUUUGGUCUCAGCAGGGCUAUCUUUUUCCUUGUUCUCCUCUUCCCAAGGAUCGGAGGGCACCUUACUUCCCCUAGCAGAGUGGAGGUGGAUGAAGGACAUAAAGGCAGGGGGUGUUGAUCCUAACAGCACUGCCUGCCCGCUGAUCCCGGAGUCUGCUUCCUGGGAUCCAAGCCAUGACUCUUUCACUGAAAUUGCUUUAAGGAGUGGCCUGCUGUCAUUUUUUACUGAGGAAGACAUAAAAACACUUUCUGGUGCUGGAGGCGGGAAAUCUGGUCUACAAGUAACUAGUUGUAUGAUCUAUUCUACAGUAAGUAACCUAGCUUCCUCGACCCUCACUAUCCCCCUCUUUGGAAUGAAGUUUGUGUGAAGAAGAUAAGGGUUAGUACUCUGCCUGGC